CCUACGGGUGGCAGCAGUGAGGAAUAUUGGUCAAUGGGCGGGAGCCUGAACCAGCCAAGUCGCGUGAGGGAAGACGGUCCUAUGGAUUGUAAACCUCUUUAGGCGGGGAGCAAUGCCGGGCACGCGUGCCCGGAGGGAGAGUACCCGCAGAAUAAGCAUCGGCUAACUCCGUGCCAGCAGCCGCGGUAAUACGGAGGAUGCGAGCGUUAUCCGGUUUUAUUGGGUGUAAAGGGUGCGUAGGCGGAUUUUUAAGUCAGCGGUAAAAGGUCCGGGCUCAACCAGGGCCGGCCGUUGAAACGGGGGAUCUUGAGUGGGCGAGAAGUAUGCGGAAUGCGUGGGGUAGCGGUGCAAUGCAUAGAUAUCACGCAGAACUCCGAUUGCGAAGGCAGCAUACCGGCGCCCGACUGACGCUGAGGCACGAAAGCGUGGGGAUCGAACAGGAUUAGAUACCCCAGUAGUC
rnacentral:rRNA from 1 species